rnacentral:rRNA from 1 species
CAGUAGCCGCGGGAAUACGUAGGUGGCAAGCGUUGUCCGGAAUUAUUGGGCGUAAAGGACUCGCAGGCGGUUUCUUAAGUCUGAUGUGAAAGCCCCCGGCUCAACCGGGGAGGGUCAUUGGAAACUGGGAAACUUGAGUGCAGAAGAGGAGAGUGGAAUUCCACGUGUAGCGGUGAAAUGCGUAGAGAUGUGGAGGAACACCAGUGGCGAAGGCGACUCUCUGGUCUGUAACUGACGCUGAGGAGCGAAAGCGUGGGGAGCGAACAGGAUUAGAUACCCCAGUAGUCCCUGUCCUUAUACA